CCACCUGAUCCACAGCCGCCCCUGUCACUGUGCAGCUAGCUGUUGCAAAUGAAUGGGAAAAUAUCCUUGGCAUCCAUGCAAUUCAAGGAUGUUGUAAUUGUAUCGGCUGUACCAAGUAUUCUUCUGCUUUCUGAUUGACUUUCUUUUCCAUGCUGAGGGAGGUGUUGACUAAAUUAGAGAUGGUGCUGGACCAACAAACCACUGAGAUUGCUUCAACUACAGGUGUUCCAAGUGCAGUCUUUGGAUAUUGAUGAAGAUUUACUGCCCUGCAAGAUCUUCCUCAACUGCGUAGUCUGGAGCGAAGGAUGCAACAGAGCCCAGAUUACAAGCAAAAUCUGGGCGGAUGUGCUCGACUGCACCUGGCGCAUACUGAAGAGGGUGAUUGCUAACUCCCUGGCAAAGAACCUCAAUUGGAGGGGAGUCGAUGGAAAGACUUCACUGUCCGCUCUCCAACUCGGAGAGGUCGUGAUUGAAACCUCUUCACGGCUAAAGCUGCAGAGAUGGAGGUUGAGGGGACCAUGAAGAGGUGGCUCCAGCUGGUGUCAGAUCGAGAGUGCGGGUGCAAGAGAAGACUUUUGAAAACUUUUGCAAAAAGAAG
ensembl:lncRNA